AAUCUCCUGAAAAGCCUCCCAAGUGCUGGGAUUACAGGGAUCCGUUCCAACUAAGAACUCGUGAAGGCAGAGGCAGAGAAAACAUUUAACCCCCACCCUUUCAGGAAAUGGCUCUCUCUGGAAUUCUUUACUCAGCACUAAAACCAUACUCACAAAAGGGAACAAAAUUGCCUCCCAUCUCCACCUUGAAAUCUCAUUAUUUCAGAAAAGAAAACUGAUGACUUCAUACCCGGACAGACUUCUUUUGUGGCAAUUUUUUCUCAUUGAGUU